ensembl:lncRNA
AAGAAAUCCUGUUUUGCUUGCAAGGCACAAAGCUUGUACAGUCCAUACAGUUGCUCUCAAUAAUUGCAAAGCAAUUUGUCCGCACAUCACCAGAGAGAUUAACAACUGAUCUUUAAUAUUUUUUUUCCAUGAGUCCCCGUAUAGAAUAAUAGAAUCGUAAAACAAUUUAUGUUGGAAAACACCCUUCAGAUCAUCAAGUCCAGCCAUCAAUCUAUCACUACCAAGUCCACCACCUAACCAAGUCCCUAAUCAUCACACUCACAUACAUCUGAAACACCACCAGGGAUGGUGACUCCACCAUUGGGUUCAACAGCUUCAUGAAGAACAGCCUUCAACAUUCUCUGUGACACCAGCCCAGGAUGCCUGGUUCAGAGGCUUCCCUUAGAGAGUGCCCCAGAGCAGAGCAUCUAUGCUAGCAUCAGGAGGUGGGUCCUGCACUCCCAGGGACCCCUCAGCAGCUCUGCAGUGCUUUAGUCAGGAUGCCACUUUGGGCAGGUAAGUCCCCAUGGCAUGUUGCCUGAAUGCCAGCUCUAAUUUUAGGAACAUUAAUCUUUUUUUAUUUUCCCUGUGUAAUUAAUAGAUAACAUACUGAACAUACAAUAAGAAUGCAUGAGGGUGCUUGUACUCUCCUAAUUCAUAACUUGAAUACUAAUAAGUGUUGGUUUUGCUUGCUGUGAGAAUUCACACAGAUGAGAAACUCACUGGAAGCGAGAAAAAGAGAUUAAAAUGACCAAUAAAAGGAGCCGAGUCAGAUUACUUUUGUAGUGUUGACACAGUGCAUUGACUCAAGUGACCAAGCUUCCCUUACAAAGACACACUUCGUUGCCAUACCAUCAGCUCUUUCCUUUGUCCACUUUCACCACAGCCCCACAGAAGGCAUUUUAUCCCAGCCUGCCCCCAUAGCCCCUUUCAUCUCAUACUUAAAACUUUCAAAUUUUAAUGCUAUAUUAAAUGUGCUACAGAAUUCAACCAGCUGCAGAGAACAGGUAACCCCACACCCCCUGCAAACCAGGGUGAAAGAUCCUAGAAGCAGCUGGACUCUCACCAGUGGAGUCUAGUCUAAAAACUAAUAACGAAAUCCAUAUAUAUUAUCUCCAGGUUGAAAAAAAAUCUAAUACAUUGGGAAAAAUCACUCUUUUUCUUUAAAGGUGCACAUUCAGUCUGUUAAUUGAAGAGCAGACACUGGAAAUUAUCAGAUAAUUGGUUCUUGCCUUAAGUGAUUUAUUGGGCAUUGUAAUAUACAUAACAGCUCUCUCUGCUCUCAGGCCAAAGAUUUCCUCACCCAGCCGCUGCUGCUAAGUUAAUUGUCCUUGCUUGCAAAUGUAUUUGUAUCAUACGAGCCUUUCCAUUAAUGCUCUGAGAUGAAAAGUCAUAAAAUUAGAUGUGUUUUUCAAUGACACUUGAAUUGUACCUGAAUUAUAGCAAUGGCCACAGUGGUGCAGCGGUAAACAGGACACAUUGCCAUGAAGAGUCUGGAAUUUUACCGAUCUUAAGAGCUUCCAUUGUGGUCAAAAUUUACUGGUGCAACAGCAACAUCAAGAUUCAGCAAAGAAUUCAUCCCAGAUCACUUCAGCAACCAGAGCUGGUGCCUUCCCAGAAAAAUGACUGCAGUAUAUAUGGCUCCCUAGCCCACGGUGAGCCACGGUGCAACUACAGAUAGAUACACAUACAUAUGUGUGUAUAUGUAUGUAUAUGGACACACAUAACAGCUUUCAUUUUUGAAGUUGCUGCUCUUAACUGAACCGCUUUGUAUCUUCUUAAGAAAACAGACAUGUGAGGUGAAACAAUUCUGUAUCUCCAGGAUACUUAGAAAACAUCUGAAAAAAUGCACUGUUAUCUGCUAAAUUAAGAUGGCUCUUUCAAGGAGAAAGUCAACUUUCAGUUACUGGAGAGAAAGAACAUGAAUUCCAGAAAAGAAUGGGGGAAAUGUUUAUUGUAUUGUCCGGGGACUUUUUCACUCACCUCCCCAUGUAUUUUUGUGAGAUCUCAGUUAACUAUGAGGAAUAAGGGCACAUGAGCCCACCCAGUCCAAACCAUUGUGUCUUAGAGAAAUGCAUGAAAGGGCAGACUGAGAUUCUCACUGGCCAAUAUUUCCUCCAGUGCCCUGGUAUUUAAUCGGGUUGUUUUUUCUGCCUUUCUUUUUAUUGUAUGCUAUGAAUACCAUCUGCAAAAGAAAUCACAGUGCCCGUCAUUAACUGAAGCCCUUGCUGUGGACUUGGGUGCUGCCCAAACACACUACCCUGCACGAUGCCUCCCUGAGCCAGCUCCCCUCCUCACUGCCCAGUUACAGCUCUCCAGCCAUUGCUUUCCACCUGUUCUGACUAUUUUGUUGUUGUGCAGCUUCUGGUAUAAAAGAAACAGCUAUUGCUGGAGAAGAAGAGAGUAGGAAGGUCACAAACACUGUUAUGAAAUAGUAAUUCUGUUAAGAACAAUCUGAGCAUUCAACAUCACCUACCGCCGGCCCCAGUCAAACCUCUGUUAGAGUACAACUCUGCUUCUCAGCCAAGAAAACAUUUUUCAUCAGCUUAGUUAUUUCAAAAGAAACUUGAAUGCAAAUCUGACAUUAGGUGGGGAAGCAGAUGCGUUUGGUGAGAGUCUUACAGCUGUGAAAUGAGAGUGAUGCAAUGCUAUUUUUUCAAUUGUUUUUUUCUGAUUAUUGCUUCCAGAUAUUGAAAACUGCUGUUUUCCAAUGGGAAAAUAACCAAAGCUGAAAGACAUCAUUAUUAUCAUGCCUAGAUGACAAAAUAAUGCUCCUUUCCUUCCUGUCCUUCCUUUCUUUCCUUGCUUCCUUCCUUUCCUUCUUUCUUUUCCAUUUUUAGAAUAGAUUUAAGGAUUUAUAUAACUCACACCAGAAAGCAAACCCUUGUGUAUCGCUCAAGAGCUAGACAUGUAGUAAGGGCACUAAAGGGUACACGUGCACCCUGAGUCAAUUAAUUGUUUUGCCCUGAUCUGUGAGCUCAUGCUAAAGAAGACUUCAAAAUCCUUGAGUUCUGCUCUGCUUAUAUUCCAGACAGAGGUACUAACUUUGGUCAUUUCUCAUGCAGUGAGUCACAACUCCAGUCAGCCCUUCUCUCCCUUUCUCUGUCACACAUGAAAAAUCCCUGAGGCCAUCUAUCCCUAAUCAGACUGAUUAUAAUUCAGUUCCAAUUCAGCAAAUAUAAAACAACAAAAGCACUGGAACAGGACAGAAAUCUGGCCCGAAGAGCUACAAAUCUAUGAAAAAUAACACUGUUCAACAGUUGUCCAGAUUUAAUUUUAGGAUAAACAUUAGAACACAUCACCUGGGAUUGAUUUAAUAUUUGUGGUACUAAUUUAGAUCAUUUAAUUUGCAGAAUUUUUGGUUCAUCAUCUGUUCCCACAGCUCAGUCAAUACUGUGGCUCAGCUCACAAAGGGAAUUGAUCUGAAGGCCAUUCUUUACAAGACAGAUUAAUUUUUGUUGAUUGAUUGAUUGGACUCUUUCCACUACGCAUACUAAUUCUGGACCAUUUAAAGCUUAUAAGGUUUUAUAUUGAGAUUCAUUGAUUUCACAGUUAUAAAAUGAUGAAUGGGUUUUCAGCCAAGAGAAGGCAAUUGAUGUAAGCUUGAGGAGAGAGACCAAGAUAAUCAGUAUAUAGUGGAAAGUGCAGAGCUGCAAUGUUCCCUCUGUUUCUGUCCAGAUUUUCCCCAGAUGGAAGGGGAUCAAAGCAAUAGUAGGGCCAUGUUGGGCACUUUUGCCAAGUCUGCACCGCAGGCUUUGCUGCUUCCCAGCCCUGAUGUCCAGGUAAAGAUCUCCUGAUUAAAACAGAACUGGAGAAGCCAGCCUAUCCCUGGCUUCAUCAUAGCCACCAACCAUACACUUCUUACAGCCUAUGGUUCUGCCUUUUCUUCUUCUUUUUCUCUUUCUUUUUCUCUUUCUCUUUUUUUUCUUCUUUUUCUUUUUCUUUUCCUUUUUCUUUUCCUUUUCCUUUUCUUCUCUUCUCUCUUACUGGGGCUUAUUGAGGGUUUUUAUCAUUCUUCUUCAAUGCUCUAAAAUCACAUAUCCUCCCUGGGAAAGAAUUUAAGUAUUCUGAUUGUUAGAAUGUGCUUUCAUGUAAAAGUGCAACAUACAUGGUGCAAUAUAUUCAUGUAUGUUGCCAAAGGUACCCAAACUAAUAUCAUUUUAAGAUAAAAUAUUGUGUCUUUAAAAGUGUUUUUGUAAUUAAUUUCCUUGUACUUCUAGAAGGACAAGACAAAGAAAUUAAGAUAAUUGUCCAUGUUUCAGAAGAUUUUGUAUCCACUAAGUUAUCUCCUAAAAUUUGCAGGAUAAAAUCGAUCUCAGCAUCCUAUUUUCUAUAGUCAGCCCCCACACAGCUGGGAAACGUAAGCCUUUUAUUCAGUGUUUUUUCCAGGCAGUGUUUAAAGUGUUACCAAAAAGUCUUGGACUUGUAGCACUGGCGGGGAUCUUGUCACUGAGGAAUACCAGCUGAGAGAGCACUUUGCCUUCUGUAUCAGCUGUUUGGUUUUCCAGUAUGGAUGGAGGACUGUUCUUCAGAGGCUGAGCCUCAUUUGCAUCUGGUUCCUCUCAUCAGACUGCUACAUUCAGUAACCUUCAGCUUACAAAGCAUUUCUCAAUAUUUUAGAUUAUAAAGUCUGGAUGGCUAGGAAAUAAGCACCACCACAAGUAAAUAAUAAAGACGUGAAUCUGGAAUAUGGUCCUGCACCGGACAUGUUAAGCAUCUUCUCCAGAGGAAAGCCAUCCAGCUUGGAAUCUGUAGAAUUCUUUUGGUUAAAAGAACUUGAUCUCAAGCCUCUUUCUUUCUCCAGGUCAUACUGUCAGGAUUUAGUUUCACAGACCAUUCACUACUUUGUACGCUCCUCACAAAUAUCACCUUGGAAGGAGAUUUAUCUCUCUCUACAGAGAGAGAAACGCAAGCUGCUUCAAUUUUAUCUAGUUGUCAUACUGUGUGUAUUACGAACUACCACUUCAGUCCACUUCUUGUUCCAUCAAAUGGCUUCAAAGCAGGUGAUACAUAGAUGGUCAAGGAGGAAAGCACUUCAGGGCAAAGUGUUUUCUGAGCUACACUUGUAAAUGAGCAGUAACUUUUGAUUUCAUUGCAGUAACACUGGUUUCCACACCACUAUAUUUAUCUGUCACUUUAUUUUUCUCUUCCAUCAGAGAGAUUUGUAGACAUGUUGUAUUUAGAGACGUUGUCACGCUGAAAAAUAAAACUACCACCCAACAUUUUACUAGUUAGAAUUAAUUUGACAUGCAACUUAUCAUUUUGCAUAUCACUGGACUAUAGCCUUUUCAAUUACACCAUUUCUUUGCAACUCCAAUUAAACUGUUAAUUGAUGUCACUAUUGUCAAAUUGCAAGGGUUUUUUUUACAUACAAAUAGCAAGGAAAAAAGAGAGAAGAUCCAGAAUUAAUAGAAAAUAGCAGCAGGUUUCCAGUCUCAGACUACUUUCUGUAUCUUUAUAAGACCACUAUACUAUGCUGGCUGAGAGUUGCAAGAAAAUAUGUACUUAUAUAUUUUGUUAAUGAUAGCAUCGUUCUUGUGUGCUCUGAAAUUAGGACACUUUCUCAAACAAAGGCUGUACAACCAAGUACUAACAGGACUCUUGGGUAUGCUUCAGAAGCUAGAGCUAGAAUUCUUCAAAGCCUGCCCAAAGAGAAUGUUUCUCAAGCUUUUCCUAUAAAAAAAAAAUUCUGGAAAAAAAAAUUUAUAAAAACAGCUGAACAACCAAUUCUAUUGCUUGCCCUCUGCAACAUCAGCAUCAUGGUACUCAUAUCCAAAGAAGCCAAAAUAAAUUUUCUGUACCGGUUCAUGAUUAUUUUCACCCUUCUAGUUUAUUUGCUUUUUUGCACACAUGGAAAUGUAUGUAUGCAAUUGUAUUUGUACAUUUGCAGAUAUCUCACAGGCUGUUUUUCCAUAUUGCACACAAACACAACCACAGCCAAAAGGUUUUGAAGCCUGACUGCUGUUAUGCUGUGAGGCA